GACGAACGCUGGCGGCGCGCCUAACACAUGCAAGUCGAACGAGAAAGAGGGAGCUUGCUCCCUUGAUCGAGUGGCGAACGGGUGAGUAACGCGUGAGGAACCUGCCUCAAAGAGGGGGACAACAGUUGGAAACGACUGCUAAUACCGCAUAAGCCCACGGCUCGGCAUCGAGCAGAGGGAAAAGGAGCGAUCCGCUUUGAGAUGGCCUCGCGUCCGAUUAGCUAGUUGGUGAGGUAACGGCCCACCAAGGCGACGAUCGGUAGCCGGACUGAGAGGUUGAACGGCCACAUUGGGACUGAGACACGGCCCAGACUCCUACGGGAGGCAGCAGUGGGGAAUAUUGGCACAAUGGGGGAAACCCUGAUGCAGCGACGCCGCGUGGAGGAGAAGGUCUUCGGAUUGUAAACUCCUGUUGUUGAGGAAGAUAAUGACGGUACUCAACAAGGAAGUGACGGCUAAACUACGUG
rnacentral:rRNA from 1 species